GUCCAGGCAGAGCUUCCUGAUUUAGCUAGAAGACUACAUGGAGACUUAGGAUACCGAACCUAGCAUUAGCAAGUUCGAGUGUCCACCUUGAAACAUGAUUUGGAGACUUCGUGAAUUGCAGGGGCUAGAUUACAUAGAAUUGCUUUGGCUGCAACAUUAUACUAUCUAUUGCAAGAAAGAAGUUACAGGGUUUUUCAUAACCAAAGGAGGACAUAAUCAGAUAUCAUGAGAAUGAUCAUUCAAGAAGUCUAUUUUAGAGCUAGUCUUUUUCCUAAACUACACAUGUAUGUUCAGAAACUGAACUCUUGUCUUGUCUAGUUGUAUCGGCUGAGCUAGUGAGGCGCUAGAAAUGUUAGAUGCACAUGGGACUGGGAAAAUUAUGCCCAUCUGCUGAUCUUUAUUAUUAUCCAAGUUAAGAUUUUGUGUCGUGACAAAUAUGAUUAGCUUUGUAAUUUUUGUAAGGAACGCCUCAGACUUCCUGAAGACAAUGUGCUUAUGACGUUAUCAAGUGCUGAUAGCUCCGUAGCUCGUAAAGUGAAAAAGUUAAAGCAUUGAUGUUUGUAAACA